rnacentral:rRNA from 1 species
AGUUCCCUACGGGGCGCAGCAGUGAGGAAUAUUGGUCAAUGGACGAGAGUCUGAACCAGCCAAGUAGCGUGAAGGAUGACUGCCCUAUGGGUUGUAAACUUCUUUUAUAAAGGAAUAAAGUGAGGCACGUGUGCCUUUUUGUAUGUACUUUAUGAAUAAGGAUCGGCUAACUCCGUGCCAGCAGCCGCGGUAAUACGGAGGAUCCGAGCGUUAUCCGGAUUUAUUGGGUUUAAAGGGAGCGUAGAUGGGUUGUUAAGUCAGUUGUGAAAGUUUGCGGCUCAACCGUAAAAUUGCAAUUGAUACUG